CCUUAGAGUUUGAUCCUGGCUCAGGACGAACGCUGGCGGCGCGCCUAACACAUGCAAGUCGAACGAGAGAUGAGGAGCUUGCUCUUCAAAUCGAGUGGCGAACGGGUGAGUAACGCGUGAGGAACCUGCCUCAAAGAGAGGGACAACAGUUGGAAACGACUGCUAAUACCGCAUAAGCCCACAGCUCGGCAUCGAGCAGAGGGAAAAGGAGCAAUCCGCUUUGAGAUGGCCUCGCGUCCGAUUAGCUAGUUGGUGAGGUAACGGCCCACCAAGGCGACGAUCGGUAGCCGGACUGAGAGGUUGAACGGCCACAUUGGGACUGAGACACGGCCCAGACUCCUACGGGAGGCAGCAGUGGGGAAUAUUGCACAAUGGGGGAAACCCUGAUGCAGCGACGCCGCGUGGAGGAAGAAGGUCUUCGGAUUGUAAACUCCUGUUGUUGAGGAAGAUAAUGACGGUACUCAACAAGGAAGUGACGGCUAACUACGUGCCAGCAGCCGCGGUAAAACGUAGGUCACAAGCGUUGUCCGGAAUUACUGGGUGUAAAGGGAGCGCAGGCGGGAGAACAAGUUGGAAGUGAAAUCCAUGGGCUCAACCCAUGAACUGCUUUCAAAACUGUUUUUCUUGAGUAGUGCAGAGGUAGGCGGAAUUCCCGGUGUAGCGGUGGAAUGCGUAGAUAUCGGGAGGAACACCAGUGGCGAAGGCGGCCUACUGGGCACCAACUGACGCUGAGGCUCGAAAGUGUGGGUAGCAAACAGGAUUAGAUACCCUGGUAGUCCACACCGUAAACGAUGAUUACUAGGUGUUGGAGGAUUGACCCCUUCAGUGCCGCAGUUAACACAAUAAGUAAUCCACCUGGGGAGUACGACCGCAAGGUUGAAACU
rnacentral:rRNA from 1 species